rnacentral:lncRNA from 1 species
GUCCCAUAAGAGUAGCUUGGUUAUAUUUUCUCAAAGAGAUAAUGCACAAACUAGAUAUGACUCAACACUCAAUGAGCCCAAAAGCUCAUAUUUUUUCAGUCUGUUAAUCAUUUAUUCUCCUAUACGACCUAGCUUAAGGUUUCACAUAUAAUUAAGGUUUAUCUCAACUCUGGAUCUCUCAGAUCUAAUGAUAUUCACAGCUUGCUCAAUUAAGUUCAUAGAUG